ACACCAGACAGUCACCAUAAAAGUGUUCAAACUUCACUAUCUGCACUUCAAACCCUCCCUCAGAUAAGACUCAGUCUCAAAUCAGAGCGCUGCAUUCAACAUCUACUUUACUGCCGGGAUCACCUGUGUUCUUUGAGAGUUGCUUCUGAAUUGUGAAUUUCUUCAUUGCAGUGGGGAUGGAUGACUCAAGUUUAGUAUUUACGAUCAUUGCACCUAUUGGUAUCCUUAUUUUUUUUGACGGUCUUCUUUGUUGGCUGCUGUACAAUAUUCCAGCGAGUCUGUAAGAAGCGAGAUGAGCAUGUGCAGACUCAAGUUCAAGCCGUGGAUCCGCCCUCUGUUUACGUCAUUCCGAUCUCUAUGUCCGAAGAUGAGCUGCACAGACCACCGCGCUACAGCAUUGUACAGUUCUACGAGCCGCCUCCUGCUUAUCACGAGUUGAAUCUGAAGCCCGAGGCCUGUCCUGUGGAAGCCCCUCCAGCAUAUUCUGAAUCCAUCUCUCCUUCACCCUCACAUUCAUGAUUAUGAGCACAUCUCAAACACUUGGACUGGCUAAAGGAAAAAUAAGAAUCAUAUUCUCAUGACUUUUCCAAGGACUACUACUCAUGCUAUCUAUAUACAUGCAAAGGUUUAAGUGGUGAGAAAGAAAAUGUCACAAAGUCACAAAGAAAGACUGUUUUGCACAAUGAGCAGCAGAACUUGGUUAAAGGUUUAAAAGUAUAUGUUUUUGUUUUGUGAAUAUUUAUCAAUUGUGUACAUGCUAUAGCUUAACCUUUUUUCUUAACUUUGUGAAAUGUGUUCAUUUAUAAUAAAUGUUGUAAAUGGUUGACCUGUUAUAAAUUGUACAGCUGAAACUGUAUUAUUAAAAUAAUGUUGUAUGAACACUGGCUCUUAAUAAUAACCUUUGAGAAUAUUUUAUUGGUAUUGAGAGAUAAGAAACGAUGUGUCGUUUAAGCCAUCUUUUUUCCUGUCACCCUUCAUAGUCAUCAUGCCUCCUGAGCUGCACCCUCAGGAACCAAAGUUCAGCGCUGUGACAUCAGAGGUGAAGCUCCGCCUCCUGCAUUACCACUGCCAUUGUCCUCACAAUCCUACACAGACAUAAGCUCAUGCAUUUAUUAAAACUCAUAAAAUAUGAACCAUAUAGUUAAAACAACACCUUUGGAGAAUUCACAGCUUUGGCUAUUUAUGAGGGUGCAUUGACAG